ensembl:lncRNA
AUAAAUGUGUAUUCAUUUUAAGCAAUUGGCUCGUGUCACUAUGGAGGCUGAGAAUUCCCAUUGUCUGCUGCCUUCAAGUCAGAAAUGUGGGACACCCAGCAGUGUCACUUGAAGGUUUGAGAACUAGGAGUGCUGAGGGCAACAGAAGAUCCCUUCAGGAGUAGCCCCAGGUAAGGGACCCCAAAGAGUGACCUCACUUCCUUGACAAUAGACCCCAACAGAACUUGCAACACUGGAAACCAGGCACCCACAUUCUACAAACAGUCUCUCCCCAUCUCACUUGGCUGAAGACACUAAAGAGAAUUAGAUGUUAUCCUGCUGAUCCCAAUUUCCUAUAGUUCUGGCACCAGAAAACCCUGAAUGAUAGGUUUUUCUGAAGCUGCUGACGUUGGGUCAGUCCUCAACACCAUCACCUCUGGCCAUGUUCAGGAGGUACUCGAAGGUGAAAGGCAGGCGCACCACACUGUGAACAAGGACCAGUGCUGGACUGGAGUGAGUGCAGGAGCAAAACGUUCUCUAAGCUGGGCACGGUGGCUCACACCUAUAAUCCCAGCACUUUGGGAGGUCAAGGCAGGCAGGUCACCUGAGGUCAGGAGUUUAAGAUCAGCCUGGCUAAUGUGGUGAAACCCCGUCUCUACUAAAAAUACAAAAAAAGUUAGCCGGGCAUAGUGGUGGGUGCCUGUAAUCCCAGCUACUUGGGAGGCUGAAGCAGGAGAAUUGCUUGAACCCGGGAGGCGGAAGUUGCAGUGAGCCAAGACCACGCCAUUUCACUCCAGCCUGGGCAACAAGAAAGAAAAUUCAUCUCAAAAGAAAAAAAAAAAAAGAACAAGAUUCUCUAAUCCAGAGCCUGGAGGGGGCAGGGAAGGCCUUCUGCUGAGACACUACUGUAAAUAGCUUUAUUCAAUAAACACACACACACACACACAUAUGGGUGAAAAAAUAUGUAAACCUUGAUAUAUAGAUGUAGAUAUUCAUUCUAUUAGUUCUGUUUCUCUGUCUUCUUGAGUAUGGCCAUCCUAGUGGGUGUCAACUAACACUUCAUUGCGGUUUUGAUUUGAAUUUCCCUAACGAAUAAGAAUUCUGAGUGUCUUUUCACGUGCUCAUUGGUCAUUUAUGUUUUAUUCCUAUAUCCUCAUGUGUUGUUAUCACCAAUAAUUAAAACAUUCUCUGGUAAAAUAUUUUUCUAAGUUAAUUUACUUAUAAAAUUACAAAGGCAAGAAGUGAUUUACUCAGUGAAUGCUGUUAUCUCAUUUAAUUUUUCAUCUCAUAUGUCAUAAUAUGAGCUGAUUCUCUCAUUGGCGUGUCCUGUAUUUCUGAAAUGAACCAUUCUCAAUCAUUUUGUGUACCUGUAUAUUAAUUAUACAUGCAAAUUCAUGACUUACGCUUGCUUAGUUUUAAGUUUUGACAUAAUGUAUGUAUUAGGUAUCUUAUUUGACAGAAAUCACUUUUUCCUCUAAGUUUUCUAAUUAGUGUAAAGUUGUUUGUCUUAGAAUGUAGACUUUUUAAAAAUCUCCAUGAAGUUUUAAAUACUGUUUAUUUUUUAAUAUUAAGUAUAUAUUUUCACAUUUUUAACACUGCAGUAAGCUCUAUUUUAUCAUUAAU